rnacentral:tRNA from 1 species
AGGGGCGUAGUUCAUCUGGUAGAGCACCGGUCUCCAAAACCGGGUGUUGGGAGUUCGAGUCUCUCCGCCCCUG